GGUGACCUCGAUCAGUAGAGCUAUU
rnacentral:rRNA from 1 species